rfam:Ictidomys tridecemlineatus contig023079, whole genome shotgun sequence.
AGGGGUGUAGCUCAGUGGUACAGCAUUGGCCUAGCAUGCACAAAGCCUUGGGUUCGAUCCCCAGCACCACAA